UGGGGAAUCUUGGACAAUGGGCGAAAGCCUGAUCCAGCAAUGCCGCGUGCGUGAAGAAGGCCUUCGGGUUGUAAAGCGCUUUUGUCCGGGAGGAAAUCCUAAGAGCUAAUAUCUUUUGGGGAUGACAGUACCGGAAGAAUAAGGACCGGCUAACUACGUGCCAGCAGCCGCGGUAAUACGUAGGGUCCAAGCGUUAAUCGGAAUUACUGGGCGUAAAGGGUGCGCAGGUGGUUCAUUAAGUGUGAUGUGAAAGCCCCGGGCUCAACCUGGGAAUUGCAUUGCAAACUGGUGAACUAGAGUAUGGCAGAGGGGGGUGGAAUUCCGCGUGUAGCAGUGAAAUGCGUAGAGAUGCGGAGGAACACCGAUGGCGAAGGCAACCCCCUGGGCUAAUACUGACACUCAUGCACGAAAGCGUGGGGAGCAAACAGG
rnacentral:rRNA from 1 species